AUUGAACGCUGGCGGCAUGCGUAACACAUGCAAGUCGAACGGUGUUUGGUGCUUGCACCAGACAUAGUGGCGGACGGGUGAGUAAUGCGUAGGAAUCUGUCUUAGAGAGGGGGACAACCCGAGGAAACUUGGGCUAAAACCGCAUAUUCUCGAGAGAGGAAAGCAGGGGACCGGAAACGGCCUUGUGCUCUAAGGUGAGCCUACGUCGGAUUAGCUAGUUGGUAGGGUAAAAGCCUACCAAGGCGAUGAUCUGUAGCUGGUCUGAGAGGACGGACAGCCACACUGGGACUGAGACACGGCCCAGACUCCUACGGGAGGCAGCAGUGGGGAAUAUUGGACAAUGGGGGGAACCCUGAUCCAGCGAUGCCGCGUGUGUGAAGAAGGCCUGCGGGUUGUAGAGCACUUUCAGUGGGAAAGAGAAGCGUCUUGUGAAUAAUGGGACGUGGAGACGUUACUCACAGAAGAAGCACCGGCUAAACUCUGUGCCAGCAGCCGCGGUAAUCG
rnacentral:rRNA from 1 species